ACACAUCCAUUGCUGGGGGAUGGGAGAGAGGUGGCUCAGCCAUUCAAGACCGUGUUUUCCACCUUCUUCAGUUCUUCUUUCAGCAAUAUGAAGUUAAAACCAGCGAGCAGUUGAAGUGAAAACAAGAUCACGGAAAAUGAGAUAUUUUGAUAAAUUCAAGAAUCCAUGUUUGAUAGAGUCUUCACUGAAAGAGUCAAAAUUGACAACAUGCUUAUUGCUUUGGCUUUCGAUGUCUGUUGGGAACAUGGUUCUUGAACAUCCACACUUCAAAGUAGAUCUUACUUUUUGGAAGAGUAGAAAGCUCAUUACAUUAGUUAAUUUGAGAAGUAAGACAAGGGCUCAGAAAGGUACUAGUUAUUAGGACCUUAUACACUAGCCUGCCUGGCAUUCUUACCACGACAGUGAAUUGUCAUGGUAAGAGUUGUGGUUUUAAACCUCUUUUCCCCAGACAUUGCAUGGAGUAAUAUGUGUAUCCACAUACAUAUUAAAGUAGGGGGUAGAUACUGUAUUGACUGGGGACUUGUGGACAUGAGACACAAAAUAGGUGAUGUUUGAUGAAACUUGAAAUGAGCCAAGAAAGGACAAAUCUGGAUAACACACUGUAGCUUUGGUGAUGAGAAAGGAGAAAGGAAAGAUAAUGAAGAUGGAUAUCAUAUUGUUUUGCCUUGAAUUUGCAGAAAGAGAUAUUUGGAUUAUGAUGUUACCUUAAAAAGCCAUGUUGAUACUACUCAGUGAAAGUUAAGAAGCCAAGAAAACUAUGUGUGUGUACAUAUAUGUAUAUAUAUGUACAUACUGUAUUUCUUUUUUAAAAAAAUUCUUACCUACUUCUCUACUAUAACAAAAUUAAUUUCAUUCCUUUUUGUUGCAUUUAAACUUUAUCUUGGUAAUAUUUAUAUUACAAAUUUGCCUAUAUAUUUGGUAUUUUAUUGUUACUAUAUAGAUGUAUUUGUAAGCAUAAAUGUGUGGUAUUCGAAUGUUUAACUGGUAAUAUUCAUAUUAUAAAUUUGCCUAUGUAUUUGGUAUGAUAUUGUUACUAUAUUAUAUAUUAUAUUAUAAUAGAUAUAUUUGUAAGCAUAAAUGCGUGGUAUUCAAAUGUUUAACAACUCUCCAUUUUUUCUCAAGUAACCCUCUGACAAAAGGCUGUAUUUGUAUAAAACUGACAGACUUUUAUGGUGGAUCAUUUUUCUUACAUUAAUUACAUAGGUAGUAUUAUUUUAGUUGGAGGUCAAAUAACAUACUAUCAAUGACAAUUUAGAGAUAAAUUGCUUUGAAAUCCUGAUAUGGAAGAGCUAUAGAAAUAACACAGGCGACCUCACGUUUUUAAGAGCCUCUGUGCACCAUAUGGCUAGUCCCAAAUGGAGACCAAGAAAGCAAGGUCUUUUAAAUCUCUACAUACAUCUUGCUUUCCUGGUUUAACACUAAUCAUUGAUUGUAUUCUGCAUAUUGGAAGGGAGCAGAUGAAGGAUACUAAGAAUUCACUUUGAAAACAUGUACUCAAUGUUUCAUAUCCAAAAGCUCCCAGGGAUUAAACAAUCAGAAAACCCUACAUCAUUUGCAUUUUAAUAGAUAAAAAUAAAAGUUGAAACAUUUCUUUACACUUAAACUACCAUGAACAAGCUUGUGUAGCUAUUAGGAGUGAAGUUAGGGAGAGGAGGAAGAAGGGGACUCUGAAAUUUAAGGAAAAUUCAUUUCUUCUACAGAAUUGAAGCUAGGCUGAUUAAGUCAAGGUGCCUGACUCCGCUAGAGACACAUUUUCCUAAUGAAAAAUACUGUAACUUCAGACCUUUCACAUUUUCCAUGAAUAGAUGUCAUUACUCAUUAUCACAUUUAUCAUUACUUGUAAAACAAUGAGGCGGCAGCAGGGGGAAAAGGACUAAAAUAGAAUUGAAAAAAAAUUGAUACUAGCUAAGGUAAUUUCAAUGAAGCUUCUUUUUCCAGAAGCAAAGGCGACCUCCAUGAUUACCCCAUCAUACCUUUGGGAAACUGACAUAAGGUAGUGGACAACUAUGAUGGAAAGAAUAGUGGCUACGGUUUCUCUCCAACCUCCUCUAAUUCUGCAUUAGAAAUGAAAAAAGCUCGACUGGUAAAAUUCUGAAACAGAUAAUGAGUUGUUUAAGUGAUAAUUACUGAAUCUCAUUUUUAGAAGCCCAUUAACAGGUAUCUCUUUAGUCAUGAGAAAAUUAUUCAUAAAUAUUAAAUUGUGUGAUCACAUGUGCAAGUUUCUUUCAAAUUAUAGUAUCUGACUAAUUUCACAGUAACUGUUUGCCAUUAAUUGGCUUUAAGAUUUAAUCAAGUAAAGACAUCAUUGAUUAAUUCCAAUUUGUAAAGCCAAAAAAAAAAAAAAAA
ensembl:lncRNA